rnacentral:rRNA from 1 species
UGGGGAAUUUUGGACAAUGGGGGAAACCCUGAUCCAGCCAUCCCGCGUGUGCGAUGAAGGCCUUCGGGUUGUAAAGCACUUUUGGCAGGAAAGAAACGUCGCGGGUUAAUACCCCGCGAAACUGACGGUACCUGCAGAAUAAGCACCGGCUAACUACGUGCCAGCAGCCGCGGUAAUACGUAGGGUGCAAGCGUUAAUCGGAAUUACUGGGCGUAAAGCGUGCGCAGGCGGUUCGGAAAGAAAGAUGUGAAAUCCCAGAGCUUAACUUUGGAACUGCAUUUUUAACUACCGGGCUAGAGUGUGUCAGAGGGAGGUGGAAUUCCGCGUGUAGCAGUGAAAUGCGUAGAUAUGCGGAGGAACACCGAUGGCGAAGGCAGCCUCCUGGGAUAACACUGACGCUCAUGCGCGAAAGCGUGGGGAGCAAACAGGAUUAGAUACCCUGGUAGUCCACGCCCUAAACGAUGUCAACUAGCUGUUGGGGCCUUCGGGCCUUGGUAGCGCAGCUAACGCGUGAAGUUGACCGCCUGGGGAGUACGGUCGCAAGAUUAAAACUUAAAGGAAUUGACGGGGGUCAUAGCUGUUUCCU